UCUUUUGCUGAGGUACAGUAUAAAGGAAU
rnacentral:piRNA from 1 species